rnacentral:rRNA from 1 species
GAUGAACGCUAGCGGGAGGCCUAACACAUGCAAGCCGAGCGGUAGAGAUUCUUCGGAAUCUUGAGAGCGGCGUACGGGUGCGGAACACGUGUGCAACCUGCCUUUAUCAGGGGGAUAGCCUUUCGAAAGGAAGAUUAAUACCCCAUAAUAUAUUUGAUGGCAUCAUUAGAUAUUGAAAGCUUUGGCGGAUAGAGAUGGGCACGCGCAAGAUUAGAUAGUUGGUGAGGUAACGGCUCACCAAGUCGAUGAUCUUUAGGGGGCCUGAGAGGGUGAUCCCCCACACUGGUACUGAGACACGGACCAGACUCCUACGGGAGGCAGCAGUGAGGAAUAUUGGACAAUGGGUUAGCGCCUGAUCCAGCCAUCCCGCGUGAAGGACGACGGCCCUAUGGGUUGUAAACUUCUUUUGUACGGGGAUAAACCUACUCUCGUGAGAGUAGCUGAAGUUACUGUACGAAUAAGCACCGGCUAACUCCGUG